rnacentral:rRNA from 1 species
AUUGAACGCUGGCGGAAUGCUUUACACAUGCAAGUCGAACGGUAGAGGGGGCAACCCCUCGAGAGUGGCGAACGGGUGAGUAAUAUAUCGGAACGUGCCCAGUCGUGGGGGAUAACGUAGCGAAAGUUACGCUAAUACCGCAUACGAUCUGAGGAUGAAAGCGGGGGAUCGCAAGACCUCGCGCGAUUGGAGCGGCCGAUAUCAGAUUAGGUAGUUGGUGGGGUAAAGGCUCACCAAGCCAACGAUCUGUAGCUGGUCUGAGAGGACGACCAGCCACACUGGAACUGAGUCACGGUCCAGACUCCUACGGGAGGCAGCAGUGGGGAAGUUUGGACAAUGGACGCAAGUCUGAUCCAGCCAUUCCGCGUGCAGGAUGAAGGCCCUCGGGUUGUAAACUGCUUUUGUACGGAACGAAAAGGUCUCUCUUAAUACGGGGGACUCAUGACGGUACCGUAAGAAUAAGCACCGGCUAACUACGUGCCAGCCGCCGCAGUAA